GUGAAUCAUCAAAUUUUUGAACGCAUAUUGCACUCCCUGGUAUUCCGGAGAGCAUGCCUGUCUGAGGGUAAUUAAAUAGAACAUAUAUUAAUUUUUUUGGUCAAAGGAAAUGAGUUCUUCGCGUUUAUAGCGGUAGCUUGAAAUAAAUGGUCAAGUUUAAUCUUAGUCGAGACGUGUACUAAUAUUAUUUCGUGAAAUC
rnacentral:misc_RNA from 1 species